AGUGAACGCUGGCGGCAGGCCUAAUACAUGCCAGUCGAACGGCAGCACAGUGGAGCUUGCUCCAUGUGUGGCGAGUGGCGGACGGGUGAGGAAUACAUGGGAAUCUGCCCAGUCGUGGGGGAUAACGUAGGGAAACUUACGCUAAUACCGCAUGCGCCCUUCGGGGGAAAGCCGGGGACCUUCGGGCCUGGCGCGAUUGGAUGAGCCCAUGUUCGAUUAGCUAGUUGGCGGGGUAAAGGCCCACCAAGGCGACGAUCGAUAGCUGGUCUGAGAGGAUGAUCAGCCACACUGGGACUGAGACACGGCCCAGACUCCUACGGGAGGUAGCAGUAGGGAAUAUUGGACAAUGGGCGCAAGCCUGAUCCAGCCAUGCCGCGUGAGUGAAGAAGGCCCUCGGGUUGUAAAGCUCUUUUGUCCGGGAAGAAAAGCAUCGGGCUAAUACCUCGGUGUUCUGACGGUACCGGAAGAAUAAGCACCGGCUAACUUCGUG
rnacentral:rRNA from 1 species